rnacentral:rRNA from 1 species
GCCUACGACCAUAUCACCCUGAAUGCGCCCGAUCUCGGCUGAUCUCGGAAGCUAAGCAUAAUCGAGCCUGGUUAGUACUUGCAUGGGAGAUUGCCUGGGAAUACCAGGUGUUGUAGGCU